GCCUAAUACAUGCAAGUCGAGCGAAUCAUUAGGAGCUUGCUCCUAAUGAUUAGCGGCGGACGGGUGAGUAACACGUGGGCAACCUGCCUAUAAGACUGGGAUAACUUCGGGAAACCGGAGCUAAUACCGGAUAAUCCUUUUCCUCUCAUGAGGAAAAGCUGAAAGACGGUUUCGGCUGUCACUUAUAGAUGGGCCCGCGGCGCAUUAGCUAGUUGGUGAGGUAAUGGCUCACCAAGGCAACGAUGCGUAGCCGACCUGAGAGGGUGAUCGGCCACACUGGGACUGAGACACGGCCCAGACUCCUACGGGAGGCAGCAGUAGGGAAUCUUCCGCAAUGGACGAAAGUCUGACGGAGCAACGCCGCGUGAACGAUGAAGGCCUUCGGGUCGUAAAGUUCUGUUGUUAGGGAAGAACAAGUAUCGGAGUAACUGCCGGUACCUUGACGGUACCUAACCAGAAAGCCACGGCUAACUACGUGCCAGCAGCCGCGGUAAUACGUAGGUGGCAAGCGUUGUCCGGAAUUAUUGGGCGUAAAGCGCGCGCAGGCGGUCUCUUAAGUCUGAUGUGAAAGCCCACGGCUCAACCGUGGAGGGUCAUUGGAAACUGGGGGACUUGAGUGCAGAAGAGGAAAGCGGAAUUCCACGUGUAGCGGUGAAAUGCGUAGAGAUGUGGAGGAACACCAGUGGCGAAGGGCGGCUUUCUGGUCUGUAACUGACGCUGAAGGCGCGAAAGCGUGGGGAGCAAACAGGGAUUAGAUACCCUGGGUAGUCCACGCC
rnacentral:rRNA from 1 species